CCUGUGGGUAAUCACACUGAAACACUUUUUAAGCAGCUGAGACCUUGGCUACCUGUCUGUCCUCGUCGCUGUUCCAGAGACUCAGAUCUGUACCCUUGGCCGUCACACAGUGCUCUCUACCCUUGAUCCUGGACUUUUCUCUCCCUCAGAAUUACCAUGACUUCAUGCUUGAAGAACAUAUCAACUAAAGCAUUAGGUAUUAAUUAGAUUGGAUUCAACUUUAUGGUUUACUACAAAUGUUUACUACAAAUGCUCUUGAGGGGUGAGUACUCCCCUCAAGAAUCCCACAUCACAACUAAUGAAAGCACAGUAAAUAUUCAAACACAGAGUAUCAAGACACAUCCCAAUCCCCUGCCCCAGACACGGUCACUUCCUGUCUGUGAUGAGGCCAAUGUAAAUGUGUGUCCUGUGUGUGAACUACAUCUUCAACUAAACCUGGAGAAAACACUUAGAGAGAUCAGUGUCUGGCCCUGAUGGAUCGGGACCCCUGUCGCGCAUUAAUCCCCCGCUGGUAUCACAAUGCUGUGACGAACAAGUGUGAGCAGUUCAUGUAUGGAGGCUGCCACGGCAACCGCAACAAUUACUGGUCCAAGAAGGAGUGCACUGACACCUGCAAAUGUGCCUCAGAUACCUCUUACAUGCUGCCACUCACUCACUCACUCACACACUC